rnacentral:lncRNA from 1 species
CCUAGGGACCUGGCAAGGAAAGACUAGGCCAGACCUUAGCACCCCCUGUCAGGGACUUCCUGCUGGUUAAUCCUGCUUCCUCUGCCAGCAGGAAGUCAGCUAGCAAAGAAGCCCCAAUGAUAUAGUCUACAGCAGGCAGCCUGCCAGGGUGCAGAGCAGGGUAGAAAAUGGAUCGGAAGGGCAAAGGUGAGGUAGAGUUGGGAGACUUACCUGAGGUCACAUAGUCAGCUUCACCUGAUUGUCAGGAAAGUAACCCUGUGAACCCUAGCUGGGGAGAAGAACCUAAAGGCAAGAGAGAGAACCGUUCUAUAGGACCCGGGAGGAUUUGCCAUCAUCUGAAGGAAGACUGAAUCUUGUCUGCUCUGGGGAGGCACGGAGGAGCCUGUGACUUGUGAGUUCCAGUAAUCAUUGUACAUCUCUGCUUCUGCCUUUGCCAAUGAGCCUGAUUUUAGGCAGAGAAAGAAGAUUCUGCCUAACAAAGUAGAGACAGGUAUCCUGGAGUUCAUGAAAGACGUGUAGCUGAUUCAGCGCUGCCCUUGAAGUAAACCUGACCAUCUCAUUUCCAACUUCUUUUUGGAUGAAGUCUAACUCAAGAUCUCAUGCAAUUGACUCCCAAGGGGCCCCUACCUCAUCUUCCAGAAAUGACUAAGUUGUAGCAUAUAUUGUAUCUAAAUCCAAGUUAUAACGCCGGCUACAUACAGAGCCAUGUGAAGAAGGACAUGCUUGCUUCUUCUUCCACCAUCAUUGCAAGUUUCCUGAGGCCUCCCCAGC